rnacentral:misc_RNA from 1 species
GAUGAAGAACGCAGCGAAAUGCGAUACGUAAUGUGAAUUGCAGAAUUCAGUGAAUCAUCGAGUCUUUGAACGCACAUUGCGCCCCCUGGUAUUCCUGGGGGCAUGCCUGUCCGAGCGUCAUUGCUGCCCUCAAGCACGGCUUGUGUGUUGGGCCUCCGUCCUCCUCCCGGGGGACGGGCCCGAAAGGCAGCGGCGGCACCGCGUCCGGUCCUCGAGCGUAUGGGGCUUCGUCACCCGCUCUUGUAGGCCCGGCCGGCGCUUGCCGACACAUCAAUCUUUUUUCCAGGUUGACCUCGGAUCAGGUAGGGAUACCCGCUGAACUUAAGCAUAUCAAUAAGCGGAGGA